rfam:Oryza rufipogon genomic scaffold, chr01
ACAAAAACAAACCCUGAGUUUCCUUGUACAACGUUUGACCGUCCGUCUUAUUUAAAAAAAUUAUAAAAAAAAAUUAAAAAGACAAGUCAUGCAUAAAGUAUUAAUCAUGUUUUAUCAUCUAACAACAAUGAAAAUACUAAUUAUAAAAAAAUUUCAUAUAAGACGGACAGUCAAACGUUGGAAACGGAAACCCAGUGUUUAUCUGUUU